rnacentral:rRNA from 1 species
UGGGGAAUUUUGGACAAUGGGGGAAACCCUGAUCCAGCCAUCCCGCGUGUGCGAUGAAGGCCUUCGGGUUGUAAAGCACUUUUGGCAGGAAAGAAACGUCAUGGGUUAAUACCCCGUGAAACUGACGGUACCUGCAGAAUAAGCACCGGCUAACUACGUACCAGCAGCCGCGGUAAUACGUAGGGUGCAAGCGUUAAUCGGAAUUACUGGGCGUAAAGCGUGCGCAGGCGGUUCGGAAAGAAAGAUGUGAAAUCCCAGAGCUCAACUUUGGAACUGCAUUUUUAACUACCGGGCUAGAGUGUGUCAGAGGGAGGUGGAAUUCCGCGUGUAGCAGUGAAAUGCGUAGAUAUGCGGAGGAACACCGAUGGCGAAGGCAGCCUCCUGGGAUAACACUGACGCUCAUGCACGAAAGCGUGGGGAGCAAACAGG